rnacentral:pre_miRNA from 14 species
AUUCUAGGUUUAAUAUGGAAUCUAGUGAAAGACCCCUGGAGUGGGGAGACCCUCACUCAAGUCUCGGGAUGACGUGACCCCCCAAGAACUCACACAAGACU